rnacentral:rRNA from 1 species
UACGUAGCAGCGAGCGUUGUUCGGAUUUACUGGGCGUAAAGGGCGCGUAGGCGGUCAGUGCAAGUCAGUUGUGAAAUCUCCGGGCUUAACUCGGAAAGGUCAACUGAUACUGCUCGACUAGAGUGCGGAAGGGGCAACUGGAAUUCUUGGUGUAGCGGUGAAAUGCGUAGAUAUCAAGAGGAACACCUGCGGCGAAGGCGGGUUGCUGGGCCGACACUGACGCUGAUGCGCGAAAGCCAGGGGAGCGAACGGG